GGAAAGCAGAAAACACAACCAUCUUCGGAGCUGUUUAACCCAGUAACCUAUAUUAAUUAACUAUUUAAGGUUUGAUAAAUUAUUCAUGCUAAUGAACAUAAUGUAAAUCCAACAUUCUGUAUUCUCCACUGAUGAAAGAAAAUCUGUCAGGAUAAACGCAACUCAGCCUAUUUUGCCUGUCAAUACGAUCAUGGCCAAUGUAAGAUUUAACUCCAUAUACUUAACUUUUCUUUGUGCUCCUGAAUACUUUUGUUACAAAAUGUAUCAAAUUAAUCAUUGAUCCAAUUAUCAACUGACUUUUGCACAAAAGUAUUCUAAUUUGCUGCCACCUUUCACAUGUUGAAAUCAUUCCAAUUUAAUUACUAAGUUGAUGGCCUCAAAAUUGACUCACUAAUCUAUGGUCCACAACUUGAGAGCCAGCAGAAAGUUUCUUUCUACUAAUCCGAGCAGUUCACAUUAGCAAAAGUGUGGAUGUGGAUUUCUCUAACUUCUGGUAACCACUCUCCUUUGUUGCCCUGCUCAUUUUUUUUCCCCUUAUCCUACCCUUUUCUCCUCCCCCACCAUCUCGAUCUGCACAUCACCCACACAUUCCAUGGUCCAUUGUCCUCUAUUAUAUUCCAUCUUCUUCAGCCCUUUCUCUCCGCUGUCUAUAACCUCCAAACGUAUGGACCACUCCUACUCUCCCCCUUCCUUAAAAGUUAUUCCUUACACAUCACUCCUACUUUCCUCCUUCCUCACCUGACUCUCGUCCCCUCCCCUCACCUGCAUUUAUCUGUCACCUGCCAGCUCUUCCUCCCCCCUCCCCCCCCCCACCCUGUUAUACAGGCUCCCCUUUCUUUCCAAUGCCAAUGAAGGGUCUCAUCCUAAAACAUCAUCUGUUUCCCUCCAUGGCUGCUGCUUGGCCUGCUGAAUUCCUCCAGCAUUUUGUGUGCUGCUCCAGGUUUCCAGCAUUUGCAGUCUCUACUAUUUAAAAAAAUCUACAUAUUCUGGAAAUUUGAAGCACAAAUCAGUAAAUGCUCAACAUUUCGGACAGCAACUGUGGGAUGAAAAUCAGUAUAAUUGCUAUUCCAGCUGAAUGUGAUUUUUCUUUUACAUUUAUUCUGAUUCUGGUUUAGUAUUAGUUAUACGUAGUGAGAGACAGUGAAAAACUUUGUUUUGCAUGCCAUUCAUAUAGGUCAUGAGGUAGAAUGUGAGAUCAAGAGUGCAUCUUAUUGUUCUGGGGACUAUGUAAUAAUCUAACAGUGGUAGACAAGCUCCCCUUGAGCCUGCUGAUACAUGCUUUCAGUUCCACAUGAUUUCACUUUGUACCUUCAAGUUGCUAAGACAGGAAAGAAGUAAUCGGGGGUCUCCUUCCGUAUUGCCUCACUGUGAACAAUGACCUAACCCCUCCCCUCCAUCUUAACUCCCAUUCUGCAGCUAAAAUUUCAUUAUAUCACUGAAGGGGGGAUGCUACUAUAGUUGAAUAGGUCACAACUGUUCACUGGAUAUGUUGACACAAGAAGGCUAGGCACUUGAUAAUUGUCAUGUUGACAAAUAUAUUCCAGCUGUCAGCAAAGCAUGGCUAUAUAUAAAGAUGGAAAGGGGAAAAAUACUGUUUUGUUAGUAGCACCAUUGUGAUUUAAAAUGAUUUAUCAAAAAUGCAAUAGUUACUCUCACAUUUUCUCCUAGUUACAUCAGAAUGCAAAGCAAGACUUGAUGAGUGGGUCCUCUAUCUAAAUACUAAGCUAUGUGGUACAUAAUUAUCAUCAGUUAAAGUACAGCAGCUCAUGCUCUCAGGAUGUGUCAAAGUGCUUUCCGGCCAGUGGAAUACUUGUGGAAUGCAUUCACUAGGGUUGAAAGACUGUGCUUGUGUAUGGAGGGAGGGGAAAUGGGGCUUGUUUUGCUGCUCUCGUUUUGUCACUUGUCGGAUUCAGUUUUGCUCUGUGUUGUUCAUUGUGGGCAUGCUAUGUUGGCACUGGAUUGUGUGGCAACAUUUGAGGGCUGCCCCAGCAAAAUGUUAGGUUCUGUUGGUUGUUAACACAAAUGACACAUUUCACCCUAUGUUUCGACGUACCUCUCAUAGGUAAAUGAAUUCCUAAAUUACAGACAGACAGACAUCCUUUAUUGAUCCCGAGGGAAAUUGGGUUUCGUUACAGCCACACCAACCAAGAAUAGUGAAGAAAUAUAGCAAUAUAAAACCACAAAUAAUUAAAUAAUAAUGUUAAUCAUGCCAAGCGGAAAUAAGUCCAGGACCAGCCUAUUGGCUCAGGGUGUCUGACACUCCGAGGGAGGAGUUGUAAAGUUUGAUAGCCACAGGUAGGAAUGACUUCCUAUGACGCUCAGUGGAAUGAGUCUCUGGCUGAAUGUACUCCUGUGCCUAACCAGUACAUUAUGGAGUGGAUGAGAGUCAUUGUCCAAGAUGGCAUGCAGCUUGGACAGCAUCCUCCUUUCAGACACCAAUCUACAGCAAUCUAACUCUGAGGUCAGAGGACUACCAUUAAACAAAACCUCUAUAUUCAAGUACUUUUCCUUCUACACUAAUUCCUGCAGCCAUCGGCUUCUCUUCAGAUAUAAAAAUUCAAUUUGAGUGACUGUGUCUUCCAUUGGAUUCUAGAACUGUUUUCCAAUAAUGCCUAUUUAAAGGGCUAUCAGUUACUGGUAGCAAAGUAUUUUCCACUUUAGUUCACUAAACCCUGUUUUUUUUUACAAUGCUCUUUACUUUGACAAUUCUUGCCAGCAGUGCUGCAGUGAAAAAAAAAUUGCAACUAUAAAUGUUACCUGCAAGUUGAGUUCACUUAUUUCCAUAACAGGUUGAAAAUUUGAGUAUCAAGACACAAGAUGGCAUUACCAAAUCUCUUGCUGUGGACUCCUUGAGCAUUCAACAAGCUCAAGGAUGCAGCUGUUCCACAUUAACUGACUUCAGCAGUUAUAGUAUUGGCUCCAGGUGUAAACUGCUGCCUUUGCCAGAAAGCAUCUGUCUCAUUUAACACCUAGAGAACUGACAACAUCCGGCCAAGUCUACCUAUAGGACUUACCACCUAUUCUACAACAGCACUGUGAGAGUCCUCUUGAAAAAUAAGUAAUUACUUAUUGCAAUCCAAUCAUCUUUAUUUUGAAAAGAUGCAUGUUAUCAUAAUUGGACACUGACAACUACUCAGAAAUAUUAAUAAAAAUAUCAAUUAUUUCAAAAUUUCAUUAAUCAGUGUUUUCUAAGUGGUAAUAGCUGCUGUGUCAAUACUUCAAAGUAUGUAGUUCAGCAGAUAAUCACUGAAGAAUGGUUUGUUUAUGGCAUUUCACCAUUGCUAGAUUAGUACGAAUCUUCCCAUUCUAACACCUUUUGCAUGUGUGAUAUGGGCUCCACUGGAAGAACUGGGAAGCAAAGUCAAUUCCAAUUGCCCCUAUUCAGGAGUCCCCCAUUUUUCGAAUGUUCGCUUUAUGACACCUCGCUGUUACAAAAGACCUAUAUUAGUUACCCAUUCUCGUUAACAGGAAGUGUUUUCACUGUUACAAAAAAAGGCAGCAUGGACCCCGAGCAGCCAAGCUCCUCCCCGGAACUGCAUUCUAGCCACCAUUGCUUAAACACGUGCCUGUGAGCAUCUGUGCUUUACGUCAAUUUAUUUUGUGCAUCCGUUAGCAAGAAGAGUUCCAAGGCAUCGAAAAAGCCUAAAAUAGCUCAUAAGGGUGUUACACUUAGUGUAAAACUAGACAUGAUUAAGGGUUUCAACUGUCGUGACGAAGUAAGGACAAAGGGAGUUUGGCUUGUGGAAGUUGACGAAGAUGAUGUUGAAGAGGUUUUGGCAUCCCAUGACCAAGAACUGAUAGACGAAGAGCUCAAACACGAGGAAAUCUGCAGAUGCUAGAAUUACAAGUGUAACACUUACCCAACAGGCUGGUAUAUGUCUAGGGGAAAAGGAGAUCCAGCCACACACCAACCCCACCUCCCGUACACACAGGUGCUGUGAGAAUCGAGUUUAUGCCGCGCGUACACACACACAUCAUAUCAAACUCACACCAGAUACCGUCGUGGAAUACACUUUAAGAUUUUACUAAAACUAAAAGAGUACUAUGCAAUACAGUAUAUAUGAAGGAAAAGAAAAUAAAGUAAAAGGCGCCAACUUAUCAAAGAUCAGUCAGUCUAGUGCACAUCGUUGGAGCUCAACCAUCAAACCAUUCGACCCCUCGUCACUUUCCUCCGACCUCCACAUCCUUGCACCUGGGACCACCCGGGUGGUCGACCGACUAGUGCAGCUCACGUCCACCUUCCUCGGCGUCUCCUUCCCGACUUCCCUGAAAAGACCACGAAAACCCCCAAGCUCCCAGCCCCACAAGACAAAAUAACGUUCCCCAUUGGUCAACAAAUGAAUACAAUCCCGAUAUCAGCAAGUCUAAAGCUAAACAACUGUGAGAGAAAGCACUUAUCAUACAAAGAAACAUUCCUACUCUUAACAGAACAAAGAAGCCAUUUUGAUUAACAUACACAGAACAUUGUAUACAAGCAACACACACAAAAUGCUGGUGGAACGCAGCAGGCCAGGCAGCAUCUAUAGGAAGAAGCACUGUCGACGUUUUGGGCCAAGACCCUUCAUCAGGACUAACUGAAAGAAAAGAUAGUAAGAGAUUUGAAAGUGGGAAGGGGAGGGGGAAAUCCAAAAUGACAGGAGAAGACAAGAGGUGGAGGCAUGAAGCUAAGAGCUGGAAAAAGUGAUUGGCAAAAGGGAUACACAGCUGGAGAAGGGAGAGGAUCAUGGGACGGGAGGCUUAGGGAUAAAGACAGCUGAUGCAAUUGGAAGAGAAAAGGAUAACAAUUGAAACCAAAUGCAGUAGCGAAUGGCACAAAAGUGAAGUCGUCCAGGAAGUGAACGUGAAGCAACUGCAUGAGAUUGACAACGCUACAAUAAUGGCAGAAAAGUAUGACUUUAAUUUUUAAAGGGUACCUAGGUUCAGGGCAUAUUUGCAUAUAUAGUUUUGAGUGUUUACAAAGAACUGUAUGAUAGAAAAAUGCACGAGGCUAAACAGUCAAGUGUACUGUCGAUUUUCAAGCCUUCCACAUCUGCCACAGCAGACGAUGAACCUCGACCUUCGACAUUGAGGCAGGCAGACAUAAGGUGACCUGCCUGCCCUGACGGAAACAGAUGAUGAUGAGAUGACACCCCAGUGUCCCAGCGCCCCAACCUCUGAUGACUCAGCCUAACACACCAUCAUCAGUGUCUUCACUGUCUUCCUGAUUCCGGGGUCACCAACCUUUUUUGCACCACGGACCAGUUUAAUAUUGACAAUAUUCUCGCAGACCGGACUGGCUGACAGGAGGGUGUUCAUCACGACCGGAAUACAGAUUCUACCACUCACUUCACAUUAAGGAGAUAUGCAUGUUAAUUCUUUUACACAAAGAGUGAUGCUGCCUGGAUUGCUCAAUUUCUCCAGCAUUGCCUAUUUUUCUUUUGUGAUCCUGAC